UUGCCCAGCAAAAAGAGUUGGCUCUGUGUGAAACAUUAAACAUUUAAUGCCUUUCUUGUGCAGUUCAGUGCGCUGACAGCAAUACCAACACUGUUUCCUGAGAAGAUAUGAGAAGCCAUGAAUCUUACAGUGGAUCUCACUUUCCCUCCCAAUUGUUUGAACUGUUGGGGCAAAGAAUUGGUUUUGACUAGUUGAGGGAUGAGUCAGCUCUAGAAAUUGUUACCACAUUGGUGUGGAAUCGGGAUACCAUGUCUUGCAGAGGAAAAUGGGCCUAAGGGAGAGAGGUAAGAUUUGCUAGAUAUUUCAAGACUGGGUCUUGUGCCAUCUUCAUGGGUUAUCUCCUUUCAGCUCCACUGCAGCUCCCAAGUGGAAGACAAAUGCACCCAUUAAAGACAGUUGUGCUUCGGUGAAAUUCAGUGAGCCAUUUGUGCCUUGCAAGCACACAAAAAAGAGAUACAGAGUCAAGAGAUAGCCCUUAUCCAUGAAGUAUUAUCUUAAUGGCAAGAUACAACCUGUACAGCGAUAGAAGGGAAGAAGCUUAAUCCAGCAACCAGUUCUGCAAGUUUUUCAAUACUCUGCCUUUACCACAUACGGAUGUGUAAAUAGGAGCCAGAAAAUCAUUUGUGUAUUUGGAGGUGUGUUUUGUUGAGGAGUUCCUCGUGGGUUUAGCACUUCUAAGAUCUUUACUUCAUUCUUAACAUCCCUAAAAGGAAUUUCAUACUUCAAGAAAUUUUGUGGGUAAGUUUGGGAAUGCACGAAGAUGAAAAAACAUUGUAACUGAAAGCAAAUGUUUUCUUUUGCUUUCAGGAAAUAUACCUCCUUCAUUCACUCAGUGAAUUACUCUCAGAGACGUAUUCUGGCACAAAUAAAUGGUGGAAAUCAUUAAAACACAAUGAUGCUAGACCAAAAAUUUUCUAAUUAGAUCAAUGAAUAUGAAUAUGAUGUGAUAUGUUCCAGUCUAUAUAUAAUUUUGUAUGAUGAAUAAAGAAUGCAAACUGUACGCCUAUGCUCAUAUCCUUGUAUGACUACACAAAUGUCUGCAUGAGUUGAUGUAUUUGCAUAUAUUUAGGUAUUAUUUUUACAUUCACAAAAAAUGUACAUGUGUGAGCACUCAUCUUUCUACAUAUGGCUGAGUAAUCCUGUUUUCUUUCAUUUUUCUAAACUUUAAUUUACCUUCUGCUUCCAUCACAUUCAUUUCUUAAAGGAAAAACUUUGCCUGUUUUACGAGACCGAUAGGAUUUUUUUUUUCCAGGAUACUUCAGGAAAAAUUAACAUCCAAGUCAUUCCAUGCAGUUUAAAAACCCCAAUAUCAAAAUAAACAUGGAAGAAACUGAAUGGGGAAGGAAAACAGUACUGCAACUUUUGUUCUCUGAUCAGCAUUUUUGCUGUUCAAGACUUCCUGAGUGGUAAAAUAGCUCAGCCACCCAUGCAGUCAAGUCAGAGGGCAGAAAAUUUUAUAUUACUCAGAUUUCCUCAAGGGGUUGACCACACUAUGACCUCUUUCCAUUCUGUAAAGCUCUGUGACUCAGAAACAUUAUGAUGCUUCUAUUUUAAAUAGUUUCUCCAGGCUUUCCUUUGUGACGCUUUUCAACUCAAGGUAGGUAAAAGCAUCUUGCCAAAUUCAGUAACCCAAGGUCAUCCUCAGACUUCAAGUAUUAACAUUUGAUUAGCUGUAAUAGUUCAUUUUACUGUCCAAGUUGUGCUAUACUUAUGAAACUUGACUCACUUGAGUAGCCCCACUCAUUUCAAGCUCUGAUGUAAAUGAAUGAUUCUACUUAGAGUCAUCCCAUCUGUUUUUUUGUAGUACAAGCCUGAUAAGCCUUUUUUAAUUAAUCUGGGAAAAAAAUCCUUUAUGGCUUGUAAAAUGGCAACAUGUUCCUGUUUUUUGUUUUCUUUUUUUUUUUUUUUUUUUAGAAAAAGAGAGAAAAAAAAAACAAA